GAGAUGAAUUCUGCUGUUGAUCAAAACUCUGAACAAACUUCAGAUAACAAUGAGGUAAAUAUCGGCGAAGGUGUAGUUAUACACCGUGAAAAAUGGAUGAAGCUACAGCUCAAUGUAAAGGACAGCUUGUUUGUGAAAGAGCUGGCAGUGUGCAUUUGGGGAACAAGCACACUGGCCAACCGAAGCCUGGAAGGAAAAAGUUGCCCCACCACAAAAUCAGAUCCUAGGCCACCUCUGACACCUCACAAAGUCAGAACACUAAAAAGUUGCUUUCAAAAGUGGCUGGAGGGCAAAAAUUUGGAGGAAGCAGAGCUGAAGGCCAGAACAGUGAAGCUUGGGCACUACUUGACAGAAAAAAUUCAAGACAUCAACAAAAAAGUCAAAAAAGCCAAAUAAGUAAAUUGCUUGCUUCAAUUCAUAAACUACAUUUAUUUUUCUCUUAAGUAGUUACAAUGAAAUGUUGUAUUGAUU